CCUACGGGCGGCAGCAGUGGGGAAUAUUGCACAAUGGGGGAAACCCUGAUGCAGCGACGCCGCGUGAGUGAAGAAGUAUUUCGGUAUGUAAAGCUCUAUCAGCAGGGAAGAAAAUGACGGUACCUGAUUAAGAAGCCCGGGCUAACUACGUGACAGCAGCCGCGGUAAUCCGUCGGGGACAAGCGUUAUCCGGAUUUACUGGGUGUAAAGGGAGCGUAGACGGCAGCACAAGUCUGGAGUGAAAUGCCGGGGGUUAACCCCGGGACUGCUUUGGAAACUGUGCAGCUUGAGUGAAGGAGAGGUAAGUGGAAUGCCUAGUGUAGCGGUGAAAUGCGUAGAUAUUAGGAAGAAUACCAGUGGCGAAGGCAGCUUACUGGAGUGUAACUGACGUUGAGGCUCGAAAGCGUGGGGAGCGAACAGGAUUAGAUACCCCAGUAGUC
rnacentral:rRNA from 1 species